UCUAGUAUAGCAAUUAUACCGUGAAACUGCGAAUGGCUCAUUAAAUCAGUUAUCGUUUAUUUGAUAGUACCUUACUACUUGGAUAACCGUGGUAAUUCUAGAGCUAAUACAUGCUGAAAACCCCAACUUCGGGAGGGGUGUAUUUAUUAGAUAAAAAACCAACGCCCUUCGGGGCUUUUUGGUGAUUCAUGAUAACUUUACGGAUCGCAUGGCCUUGCGCCGGCGACGGUUCAUUCAAAUUUCUGCCCUAUCAACUUUCGAUGGUAAGGUAUUGGCUUACCAUGGUUUCAACGGGUAACGGGGAAUUAGGGUUCGAUUCCGGAGAGGGAGCCUGAGAAACGGCUACCACAUCCAAGGAAGGCAGCAGGCGCGCAAAUUACCCAAUCCCGACACGGGGAGGUAGUGACAAUAAAUACUGAUACAGGGCUCUUUUGGGUCUUGUAAUUGGAAUGAGUACAAUUUAAACCUCUUAACGAGGAACAAUUGGAGGGCAAGUCUGGUGCCAGCAGCCGCGGUAAUUCCAGCUCCAAUAGCGUAUAUUAAAGUUGUUGCAGUUAAAAAGCUCGUAGUUGAACCUUGGGUCUGGCUGGCAGGUCCGCCUCACCGCGUGUACUUGUCCGGCCGGGCCUUCCUUCUGGAGAACCUCAUGCCCUUCACUGGGCGUGUUGGGGACCAGGACUUUUACUUUGAAAAAAUUAGAGUGUUCAAAGCAGGCCUUUGCUCGAAUACGUUAGCAUGGAAUAAUAGAAUAGGACGUGCGGUCCUAUUUUGUUGGUUUCUAGGACCGCCGUAAUGAUUAAUAGGGACAGUCGGGGGCAUCAGUAUUCAAUUGUCAGAGGUGAAAUUCUUGGAUUUAUUGAAGACUAACUACUGCGAAAGCAUUUGCCAAGGAUGUUUUCAUUAAUCAGUGAACGAAGUUAGGGGAUCGAAGACGAUCAGAUACCGUCGUAGUCUACCGUAACUAUGCCGACUAGGGAUCGGGCGAUGUCUUUUUCUGACUCGCUCGCACUUACGAGAAUCAAAGUUUUGGCUCUGGGGGGAGUAUGUCGCAGCUGGAACUAAGAACUGACGGAAGUCACACUAGGCGUGAACUGCGGCUUAAUGGACUCAGCACGUGACCCGCAGUCCAGAUGCCAGAGGCGCACUGCAAGUGACGCACUUUACUGGAAAUUACGUCUGCUCGUUUC
rnacentral:rRNA from 1 species